GACGCUGGCGGCGUGCUUAACACAUGCAAGUCGAACGGAAAGGCCCCCUUGUGGGGUACUCGAGUGGCGAACGGGUGAGUAACACGUGAGUAACCUACCCUUGACGUUUGGGAUAACUUCAGGAAACUGGGGCUAAUACCGGAUAGGAGCUCCUGCUGCAUGGUGGGGUUGGAAAGUUUCGGCGGUUGGGGAUGGACUCGCGGCUUAUCAGCUUGUUGGUGGGGUAGUGGCUCACCAAGGCUUUGACGGGUAGCCGGCCUGAGAGGGUGACCGGCCACAUUGGGACUGAGAUACGGCCCAGACUCCUACGGGAGGCAGCAGUGGGGAAUAUUGCACAAUGGGCGGAAGCCUGAUGCAGCAACGCCGCGUGCGGGAUGACGGCCUUCGGGUUGUAAACCGCUUUCGCCUGUGACGAAGCGUGAGUGACGGUAAUGGGUAAAGAAGCACCGGCUAACUACGUG
rnacentral:rRNA from 1 species